rnacentral:lncRNA from 1 species
UGAACUUCUCAAAUCUUCAUCAUUUCCUAGAAUUGAAGAUUGCAUUAUAUAAACUCAUUACAUAGUUACAUACAAUCUUACUAAUUAGUUGCAUUAUAUAAACUCAUUACAUAGUUACAUACAAUCUUACUAAUUAGUUGCAUUAUAUAAACUCAUUACAUAGUUACAUACAAUCUUACUAAUUAGUUGCAUUAUAUAAACUCAUUACAUAGUUACAUACAAUCUUACUAAUUAGUUGCAUUAUAUAAACUCAUUACAUAGUUACAUACAAUCUUACUAAUUAGUUGCAUUAUAUAAACUCAUUACAUAGUUACAUACAAUCUUACUAAUUAGUUGCAUUAUAUAAACUCAUUACAUAGUUACAUACAAUCUUACUAAUUAGUUGCAUUAUAUAAACUCAUUACAUAGUUACAUACAAUCUUACUAAUUAGUUGCAUUAUAUAAACUCAUUACAUAGUUACAUACAAUCUUACUAAUUAGUUGCAUUAUAUAAACUCAUUACAUAGUUACAUACAAUCUUACUAAUUAGUUCACUUGAAUAAUUUUUAGGUGCAUUACUACAAGAUAAACUAUUAGACUGAAGGGAGUCUUCUCCUGUCAACCCAAUUACAUAGUGUUAUAAUUAUAAUGUGAUCACAAGGAUGGGUCUGAAGCAUCAAUAUAUUUGGAGUUUUAAUGGUUGUCAUAUUUAAAAAAGAGUGGAAACUGUUAAAGAUUAUUUAUAUUAGCAAUUGCUCUCAACUUGUAAGUUGAAGAAAGUGGUUCUUGUAGACGGGAUAGGUCGGUAAACUAGAAGGCA